UCACCAGGCCAGCAUCUACCAUCAAGAUGUGCAGUUCUACUUUGGGAAGUGGAAUCACUGUGGUCAUUUUAGGUUGACAGUCUCUUCAGAGAAAGUAGAAAGUGCACAUGGCAGAGAUGAGUCCAGAAUGCCAUCCAUUCAUCUGUUCAGGAAAUAUUUAUUGAGGACCUACUCUGUACUAAAGAUCUAGAAGUCAAAGAUGUGGCCUCCACCAUCAUAGAGGGAUUCACAGAGGGGAACAGCUCAGAAAACCAGUGCCACCUGUGUGCUUUAAUAGAGGCACGCUCAGGGUGCCCUCAGCAUGCCCUGGAGGAGCAUGGGAUUUGGUUUUUAAUUAGAUUAAAGGAGAGGGAAAUACCAGGAAGUACUUUCAAGAGAAGUUAGUGCUCCCAUUACAUCUUAGGCAAUGAGUAGGAAUAAGACAGCCAGGAUUAUUCAAGGGGUAACUGUGGAAGUAGCCAGUAGACAACGGGAGUUUGCCAGUUUCAAGACAUUUCAGCCACUUGAUGAUGAACAGAACUGAAAGGGAGCCAGUGAACAGGUGUGAAGCUUCAGCCCACAUGAGUCCUCCUAAGGGCUGAAGCGAGACCCUUGCAUUUCAAUUUCACUUAAGAUGCUGAAAUAAACUCUAAUUGAAUGCACCAUCUGGAAACAUUGAACUGCAUGAAGAAAGCAGGGGGAUCAAUUCACAUCAUCCUCCACACCCUCACUGGAUGCUCCCCUCUAAGGAAUCUGAAAGACCUCAGGCCUCCUCCCUCAAAGCGUAGUAAGGACAUGGCUUUGGAGCCAAGAGCAAUGCUCAGAACUUUGGGAACCUGGUGAGACUCACCUAGGGUGGACCUGGACCCUGGGAAAAGGAUUGCAACAGCUGGUGGAAACCAUAACUUGGACUGAGGAGAAAAAAAACUCAUUAUUUCUAACCUGAAGCUUUCCUGAUAUGAUGAUGUCAUCACUGCUUCCACACUUGACAUGACGUUAUUUUAUUCUUGGUGAUUAUAUGAAGACAAACAUCAGUGGCUGGAUAUAAUGACCUCUCUUUUAUCUUGUGUAUAUAAGCAGUUCUAACUCAUUAAAGACUGUGAGCAUGGUGGCUUACAGUCUGCAACUCCAAGAA